AACGAACGCUGGCGGCAGGCCUAAAACAUGCAAGUCGAACGCCCCGCAAGGGGAGUGGCGCACGGGUGAGUAACGCGUGGGAACGUGCCCUUCACUACGGGACAACGUCGGGAAACUGACGCUAAUACCGUAUAAUGACUCCGGUCCAAAGAUUUAUCGGUGAAGGAGCGGCCCGCGUCUGAUUAGCUAGUUGGUGAGGUAAAGGCUUACCAAGGCUACGAUCAGUAGCAGGUCUGAGAGGAUGAUCUGCCACACUGGGACUGAGACACGGCCCAGACUCCUACGGGAGGCAGCAGUUAGGAAUAUUGGACAAUGGGCGAAAGCCUGAUCCAGCCAUGCCGCGUGUGUGAUGAAGGCCCUAGGGUUGUAAAGCACUUUCGUUGGGGAUGAUAAUGACCGUACCCAAAGAAGAAGCACCGGCUAACUUCGUGCCAGCCGCCGCAGUAA
rnacentral:rRNA from 1 species